CUGAUUGCUCUCCAUUUCCUGCUCAGCGCUGUCGCUCUUAAAAUCCACUUCAGCGCUGCCCGCCACCAUCAUCUCCUGCUGUUAAAUCCCUGUUCCGUGCCAUCCCUGCCUCCUUUGCCAUCCCUGUCUCCCGUGCCAUCCCCUGAGGGGCUGUGCUGCUGCCUCUGGCCCUGCUGGAGACACUGCAAUGUGCUCUUUGCUCUGUGCUCUUUGCCCUGUGCUCUUUGCCCUGUGAUCUUUGCCCUGUGCUCUGUGCUCUUUGCCCUGUGCUCUUUGCUCUGUGCUCUUUGCUCUGUGCUCUGUGCUCUGUGCUCUUUGCUCUGUGCUCUGUGCUCUGUGCUCUUUGCUCUUUGCUCUGUGCUCUUUGCCCUGUGCUCUGUGCUCUUUGCUCUUUGCUCUUUGCCCUGUGCUCUGUGCUCUGUGCUCUUUGCUCUGUGCUCUUUACUCUUUGCUCUGUGCUGUCCCUGCACCGCUGCCCUCCCACCCCUGCCAGGCUCCUCUGUCCCUGCCAGCUCCCCCCAGGGCUGCCCCGCUGCUUCCUUGAAACUUGUCCUGUACUUUACUUUGAAUGCAGCAGGGAGUCAGAAUUCCGCCCACUGUUCCCUUCUAUUCUUGGCCCUCCGCUUCCCUCACCUCCCAACCAAAAUCUGUUCUUCUUCUGAAAAUGGCUUUGGUUUUGUGACGGCGAGAAAGCAGCUCUCCCACGGGGGUUGUGGGGCCAUGGGCUGGCACCCCCGGCUCCAGCAGCCCGGCCCAGGGGCUGCCCUUGCCCUCCCUGCCCCCUCUCUCCAGCCACGCUCGGUGCCUGUGGCAGCAGUUCCGAGGCUCCUCCGAUCCCCGUUUGUCGCGUUUGUCGCCUGCCUUGUGCCAGCGCCACUGAAUGUCCGGGUAUUGGUGCUGGCAGUCAGCGCCGUGUCCGUGUUUUCCUCCCUUCGUGCCUGCGACUGCCGGGCGAGGCGGAACGCGCUGUUUGUCCCCUUUCCAAGUGUCUCUGUCGAAUCAACAAGAACAAAUUAUUCAUCUGCUGCGGGAGGCUAA
rnacentral:lncRNA from 1 species